rnacentral:rRNA from 1 species
UACAGAGGGUGCAAGCGUUGUUCGGAAUCACUGGGCUUAAAGGGCGCGUAGGCGGGCUCACAAGUCAGGGGUGAAAGCCCACGGCUCAACCGUGGAAGUGCCUUUGAUACUGUGGGUCUUGAGGGAGGUAGGGGCGUGCGGAACUUCCGGUGGAGCGGUGAAAUGCGUAGAUAUCGGAAGGAACACCGGUGGCGAAAGCGGCGCGCUGGACCUCCACUGACGCUGAGGCGCGAAAGCCAGGGGAGCAAACGGG